rnacentral:misc_RNA from 1 species
UCAAACUUGGUCAUUUAGAGGAAGUAAAAGUCGUAACAAGGUUUCCGUAGGUGAACCUGCGGAAGGAUCAUCAUUGAAUUUUAUAAACCCAAGCUUGUGGAAGAAAUGUUUUUUCUUCUGGUUUGGCUUGGGCAAACAACUUUGAUACCCAAAAAGAGAGUUUCAUCUCUUCAUCUUUCAGCCUUUGGCCUUAUUUACUUGGGUUGAUGGUUGGGAAGAAGGGAUACCUCGAAAUAACAUAUGUGGUUGCCUGAUAAAAAAAAAAGAGUUUGGUUUUGGGAAUGGAAAAAUGAAACAACUUUCAACAACGGAUCUCUUGGCUCUCACAUCGAUGAAGAACGCAGC